AAACUUUCAACAACGGAUCUCUUGGUUCUGGCAUCGAUGAAGAACGCAGCGAAAUGCGAUAAGUAAUGUGAAUUGCAGAAUUUAGUGAAUCAUCGAAUCUUUGAACGCACAUUGCGCCCCUCGGCAUUCCGGGGGGCAUGCCUGUUCGAGCGUCAUUA
rnacentral:rRNA from 1 species